GCCGAAAUCCCCAACCUUCCCCCUAAAAUCUCUUAUUUCCCACAUCCAAGAAAGAAACCCAGAAGUUUAUUCAACUCUAGGGAAAAUCAAAAUCAAAGAACCUAGAACUAGGAAACCAAGGAAAUGAUGAGAAAAACAGCAAAAAGGGAUUGGAAAUUGAAAGGUACCAAGUGGAAGGGUUGUCAAUAGGAGGGCCUGGAACUUGCAUUAUUUUUCCCACUCUUAACCUAGCAUUUGAUAUCAGUCGAUGCCCACAACGUGCCCUUUCUCAAUAUUUUCCUUUUAUUUACUCAAUCCAACUCCAUUAAUUCCUCUACCUUCUUUUAAUCUUAAUCUAAAUUUUCUUUAAUUUAGGGACAAAAAUUAUUUUUUAUGGCCGAUCAUCAGUUCCGCUUAUUUUGCAGUGAAAAGGAAAGGAAGAUUUAGUUUUCACGGAAAAAAGUGUGGAUUCGGUGCAGUUCGUUAGACUGUUAUCAGAUCCACCGCAGGUUCAUGUUCUGUUGUGAUUGGAAUCAAUAGGAGUUCAAUUUGUACUGCAAUCUGUUGACGAGAGCAUCGGUGAUUAUUAUUCAGAUGUUCUAAUGACAAGAAGUUGAGUUAUUAAAGUGACCUUGAGUAAAUUGGUUUCUUACUAAAUCAUAUUUUCUUUAACCUUAUUCAAGCUUUCGAGAUAGAAGGUAUGAAUACAAAGGACUGAAUAAAGUUUGGAAAGGGAAGCUGUCUGAAGCCAAGGCUGGUGGAAACCCUAUGAAGAUCCAAGAAGCACAAGUUUGCUAAAUGUUCUUCAUUUUGUCUACCAUUAUAGUCGACUCGCAAUAAUCAAAUAAACUUCUUAUGGUUUUUCCUUUUCUUCUCAAUAUUUUUCAGGACAUGGUAGUGCUUUAUGAUUCCUUACAACUUGCCCAUAAGUGUAUUCUGAACUCAUUCUAUGGAUAUGUCAUGCGCAAAGGUGCGAGGUGGUACUUAAUGGAAAUGGCUGGUGUAGUUACAUAUACUGGUGCUAAAAUCAUUCAGAAUGCUCGCUUACUUGUUGAAAAAAUUGGGAAACCACUUGAAUUAGACACAGAUGGUAUCUGGUGUGCGCUUCUUGGGUCUUUUCCAGAAAAUUUUACUUUUAAAACUAAUGACUUGAAGAAGAAGCUGACUAUCUCUUAUCCGUGUGUUAUGCUUAAUGUUGAUGUGGCAAGAAAUAAUAUAAAUGAUCAGUACCAGACACUUGUGAAUCCUGUCAAUAAAACAUACACAACUCAUAGUGAAUGCUCAAUUGAAUUUGAAGUAGAUGGCCCAUACAAGGCAAUGAUUAUACCUGCGUCUAAGGAAGAAGGAAUAUUAAUCAAGAAAAGAUAUGUUGUUUUUAAUGAUGAUGGAACCCUUGCGGAACUGAAAGGUUUUGAGAUAAAGCGUAGAGGUGAGCUGAAACUCAUCAAAAUUUUCCAGGCGGAGCUUUUUGAUAAGUUCCUUAAUGGAUCCACCUUAGAGGAAUGCUACUCAGCUGUCGCUGUUGUUGCAAACCGCUGGCUUGAUCUUCUUGAUAUUUAUUCUUCUCUCCCCCGGAUGGUGGACUUGACGAGAGUAAUAUAUCACUAGAAGAGAAGUUGAGGAGGGAGAGGUCCAGGGAGCGUGGGCUGGGUGUUACACGUUAUGAAUGGGUGAAGACUAUCUCAAAGAAUAAAACUAUUAUGGUGCCUUUACCUGGCGGGGGAUGAUGAAGAUGAUUCUGUUGCCAAGAUGAAGGCAGCUGAGGAAGCCUUAGAAGCAAAACAAAAAGUAACAAAUAGCUUGUUUGCUUCCUGUUUUUUUUUUUUUAUCAUGUUUUAUAAUUUUAUGACAAAUUGUUCUUGGUACUCUGAAGAUAUUUAUGGAAAAUUACCCUAUGAUUCUAUUGUAUUUA